GCUGGAUGUGACAAUGAGGCACUCUUUGUUCUGCAUGCUUGAUUUAUUGUUGUUCACUACGGUCUUCUAUGGAAAUGCUACAGAAGAGGAAUCGAGACUUUUUUAAAUCAAGAAGAAGAGGAAGCGACUGAAGGCAAAGGGAAGAAUUAAAUGGUGAAAGUUGAAGGAGGAAGAAUGCUGCACAGGGAGGAGUUGAGAAGAUCUGGGUGGUAGGCAAGAAUUACCAGACGACUGGGAAAGUACAAUUGUAGAGCCAGUAAACCUCGGGCCUUAAUAACAGCACAUGAGGGAGUCAUACCAGCAGGGGGCAGUGUGACACUGAGCUGCUCUGUGGAGGGCUCUGC